AUGUAAUUUAAUUCCUACAAUUUUAAUGCACCAUAUCCCAUUAGAUAUCCAUAGUUAAAUGUGCUUGGGAUAGAGUAGUACUAGGAUGGGUGACCCCCCAGGAAGUCCUAGUGUUCUACAUG
rnacentral:rRNA from 1 species